rnacentral:rRNA from 1 species
UACGUAGGGGGCAAGCGUUGUCCGGAUUUAUUGGGCGUAAAGAGCGUGUAGGCGGCCUGAAAGGUCAGCUGUGAAAACUCGAGGCUCAACCUCGAGACGUCGGUUGAAACCAUCUGGCUAGAGUCCGGAAGAGGAGAGUGGAAUUCCUGGUGUAGCGGUGAAAUGCGCAGAUAUCAGGAGGAACACCGGUGGCGAAGGCGGGUCUCUGGGCCGAUACUGACGCUGAGGAGCGAAAGCGUGGGGAGCGAACAGG